rnacentral:rRNA from 1 species
UACGUAGGGGGCUAGCGUUAUCCGGAAUUACUGGGCGUAAAGGGUGCGUAGGUGGUUUCUUAAGUCAGAGGUGAAAGGCUACGGCUCAACCGUAGUAAGCCUUUGAAACUGGCGUUCUUGAGUGGGCGAGAAGUAUGCGGAAUGCGUGGUGUAGCGGUGAAAUGCAUAGAUAUCACGCAGAACUCCGAUUGCGAAGGCAGCAUACCGGCGCCCUACUGACGCUGAGGCACGAAAGCGUGGGUAUCGAACAGG